rnacentral:rRNA from 1 species
UAGGGAAUCUUCCACAAUGGACGCAAGUCUGAUGGAGCAACGCCGCGUGAGUGAAGAAGGUUUUCGGAUCGUAAAGCUCUGCUGUUGGUGAAGAAGGAUAGAGGCAGUAACUGGUCUUUAUUUGACGGUAAUCAACCAGAAAGUCACGGCUAACUACGUGCCAC